rnacentral:rRNA from 1 species
UACGGAGGGUGCAAACGUUGCUCGGAAUCAUUGGGCGUAAAGCGCACGUAGGCGGUCCGUUAAGUCGGGAGUGAAAGCCCCAGGCUCAACUUGGGAAGUGCUUUCGAAACUGGCGGACUUGAAUACUGAAGAGGAUCGCGGAAUCCCCGGUGUAGAGGUGAAAUUCGUAGAUAUCGGGAGGAACACCAGCGGCGAAGGCGGCGAUCUGGGCAGAUAUUGACGCUGAGGUGCGAAAGCGUGGGGAGCAAACAGG